rnacentral:rRNA from 1 species
AUUUAUAGUAGACUUUGUAAAAAAAAAAGAGACAAACCGGAGAAAGGGGGGAUGACUUCAAAUCAUCAUGCCCAUUAUGCCAUGGGUACACACGUGCAACAAUGGACCCACCAAAGGGCUGCAAGACCGCAAGGUUUAGCCAAUCCCAUAAAUCUGUUCUCAGUUCGGAUCGCAGUCUGCAACUCGACUGCGUGAAGCUGGAAUCGCUAGUAAUCGCGGAUCAGCAUGCCGCGGUGAAUACGUUCCCGGGCCUUGUACACACCGCCCGUCACACCACGAGAGUUUGCAACACCCCGAAGUCGGUGAGGUAACCUUUAUGGAGCCAGCCGCCGUAUGGUGGGGCGCG